rnacentral:rRNA from 1 species
GUAUGCAGGUCGGAUGGUGGUAAAUUGCAUCUAAGGCUAAAUAUUGGCCAGAGACCGAUAGCGCACAAGUAGAGUGAUCGAAAGAUGAAAAGCACUUUGAAAAGAGAGUUAAACAGUAUGUGAAAUUGUUGAAAGGGAAGCGCUUGCAACCAGACUUGAGCGCGGCGGUUCCCCCUUGCUUCUGCUUGGGUUACUCCGCCGUGUCCAGGCCAACAUCGGUUCUGGGGGUCGGUCAAAGGCUCUGGGAAUGUAUCUACCCACGGGUAGACUUAUAGACCAGGGUGUCAUGCGACCUCCCGGGACCGAGGAACGCGCUUCGGCUCGGAUGUUGGCGUAAUGGUUGUCAGCGACCCG